rnacentral:rRNA from 1 species
UACAGAGGUCUCAAGCGUUGUUCGGAUUCAUUGGGCGUAAAGGGCUCGUAGGCGGCCAACUAAGUCGGAUGUGAAAUCCCCAGGCUCAACCUGGGAACUGCAUCCGAUACUGGAUGGCUUGAAUUCGGGAGAGGGAUGCAGAAUUCCAGGUGUAGCGGUGAAAUGCGUAGAUAUCUGGAGGAAUACCGGUGGCGAAGGCGGCAUCCUGGACCGACAUUGACGCUGAGGAGCGAAAGCCAGGGGAGCAAACGGG